UAUGGGUCUGUGUUAAACGAGGCUUGUCUUUCAGACUUAGUUUCCAAGUUUUUUUUUUAUAUAAAAACCCUUAACUGCUUAACAGGUGAAUUAAGUAAUUAGCUUGGGCAAUAUUAAAUAUUUAUUAACGUCUUGAUUUGAAGCUUUCGUGACUGUAGGAAUCCAUAUUCUUUGGUUCUUUCAGUAAAGUCACGUCGGUCUAAAAUAUAAAUAAAUCACGACCUUUCGGGCGCAACACAAGCGUCCGCCCUCAGCCAAACAGGAAACUUCCAUCUUUGUGGAAGAUGCAGAAAGUGCCUGUCUGCCGUGUGGCCACGAUGUCGGCACAGAGGCAGGCUGGGUGGUUUGGUUCAAGAUCGCACAAGUAAACGGCAGCCGGCCGGUUCCUGUGAUCGCGUGCUCUGGGGAAACAGCCCUUUUUCCCUCUUGUGAGGGUGAUAAGGAGACAUCAGCCGAAGAUUUGAAGUUCACCUGCUCCAGAAACCAUGACCUAAACAUAAGAAAGGCGCACGUAUCUGACUCGGGCAUUUACAUUUGUGCUGCUGCGUCCUACCUUGAUCGAUGUUUGUGUAACAGUAGGACGAUGUGCGAGUGGGAUAUGUUGAAAGAGACUUAGAUUAAAUUCAACAAUCACCAAUACCAGAAGAGUGUUAGAUUAACGGUGAUAGCGUUGGUGGAGAAAACGUACAUCAUAACGGUGCACACAGGAGAUGUGACUUAUGCUGGAACAAGCGCCCGUGUGUUCAUUGGCCUAAAUGGGAAAAAAAUAUGGCAAUUAGAGCUCUCUCAUUCAUCAUGUAGCUGUUUCAACCGAGGUCAGGUAAGUUUCUAAUCCAUGGUGGCGAGAAGUUAACUUCAUUGCCUGGUAUACAUGAGGUCGUGAGAUCAAUCCCGACCCUGAUGCCUGUUGUAUAUUUGGAUUUUGCGUGUCUCCCUUCCCGUGGUCACGUGGAUUAUUCUCCGGGUCCUCCGGUUCUUUCCUUCGCGUUUAAAGUACUUGGCCACUGUAUGUUUCCACAUGAUAAGCCACUUCGUUGAGCUAUUAUUUGUGGCCAGGUCGCUUCUAAAAAAAAGAGCUAUAUAGUUUAGUGGGCCUUACCAGGUAAAACAUAUAUAUAUCGUUUAAAUAGUUUUUAGCUUCAAUUUCAAACACAGCAAUGGUGGUGCAUGCCUGUAAUUAAGUACUGUAGAUGCGAGGCACAAAUGUUGUGAAACUCCAUUGGCAUUGAGGUGCCAUACACUGAGCUCGCUAGGAGAAGGCAGUAUAGUAAGUAGACUAAUCGCCAUCUGUUUCCAUCCGUAUGAGCAUAGCCUGUUGCCCCCGUGUGCGCGUGGGUUUCCUCCAGUUGCUCCCGUUUGCUCCCACAAGUAUGGACCCUUAUUUAUUGGCUGAAACAUUAAAGCUCACUCAGGACCUUCCUGAAAAGAGUCAUGAUUCCGGUGUGGCUUUCCAGGAUAAAUAAGUAUGUACAUAUUAUUCGAUGUCAUAGUUGGAUAUUUUCUGUGAAUUCUGCAUUUCGGUUACACGUUGAAAGGCAAUGCAAGAUUUGAAUGUGUUACAGAUUGAUGUCUUCAGAACCAACACUACAAAUCUUGGAUGCAUAACAGACCUAUAUGUAUGGCAUGACAACAGUGGAAUUGCUUCUGGUUGGUACCUUGACACGAUUGAUGUUUAUGAUGGACACACUAAUUACAAGUUUGAAUUGAAUGCAUGGAUCUAUGGUCCAGAAAAAACGAGACUCCGCUUAAAGGCUAUCGAUGCACCGUCAUGUGGUUGUACCGUCUCUUCCUCUGAACCAUACUCAAACAUGGACAACUGUGUCAAUGGCAUGGUGAACAUGAAGGCUCUGUGUGACCAAUUUUCAAUCCAAAAUGGAAUAGUUGAAACGUUUACAUCUUCUUCUAUGAGACCAAUGGACGAGCUGUUAAGCUUAACGCUUCCCAGUGAACACGAGACCCCAAAUGUGCUGGUCCCAGCCAUCACAGGAGCGGUGGUCUUCUUCGCUGUAUUGGUGGUGGGUGUUGCAGGCGUGUUCUGUAAUUUCAAAAAAAGGCGUGUAUUGAAAAGUGAGUUCUGCUUCUCAUUAGUUUUUUAAACCAUAAUUUCUACCCCAUUUCCUAUCAUGUGAGUGUAAUUGCCUUUGAUAUUUAUUUAUGAAACAUGUACAGAACUCCCCUUA